AUUGAACGCUGGCGGCAGGCCUAACACAUGCCAGUCGAGCGGAUGAAGGGAGCUUGCUCCUGGAUUCAGCGGCGGACGGGUGAGUAAUGCCUAGGAAUCUGCCUGGUAGUGGGGGAUAACGUCCGGAAACGGGCGCUAAUACAGCAUACGUUCUGAGGGAGUAAGAGGGGGUUCUUCGGACCUCACGCUAUCAGAUGAGCCUCGGUCGGAUUAGCUAGUUGGUGGGGUAAAGGCUUACCAAGGCGACGAUCCGUAACUGGUCUGAGAGGAUGAUCGGUCACACUGGAACUGAGACACGGUCCAGACUCCUACGGGAGGCAGCAGUGGGGAAUAUUGGACAAUGGGCGAAAGCCUGAUCCAGCCAUGCCGCGUGUGUGAAGAAGGUCUUCGGAUUGUAAAGCUCUUUAAGUUGAGAAGAACAGCAGUAAUUUAAUACCUUGCUGUUUUGACGUUACCAACAGAAAAAGCACCGGCUAACUUCGUG
rnacentral:rRNA from 1 species